rnacentral:rRNA from 1 species
UACGUAGGGUCCGAGCGUUGUCCGGAAUUAUUGGGCGUAAAGGGCUCGUAGGCGGUUCGUCACGUCGGGAGUGAAAACUCGGGGCUUAACCCCGAGCCUGCUUCCGAUACGGGCAGACUAGAGGUAGGCAGGGGAGAGCGGAACUCCUGGUGUAGCGGUGAAAUGCGCAGAUAUCAGGAGGAACACCGGUGGCGAAGGCGGUUCUCUGGGCAUUACCUGACGCUGAGGAGCGAAAGUGUGGGGAGCGAACAGG